rnacentral:lncRNA from 1 species
CACAGGUAGUGUUUCUUUUAGGGUUUCAACACACUUUCAAACACUCGAUGUCAUGUCUUGUUUCACCAUUUGUUUAUUUCAUGGGGUGGUAGCGAUUUCAAAUGGAUCACCAUUGUGUCCCUGAGCAAGGCACUUAACUGGUUCCCCAGGGGGAGUGCCCCUGUAGUUGGUUCGCUACUAGUCGCUCCAGAUAAUAGUAUCUGCUGAAUCAUAAUUAAUCACAUAUUUGUUAUUUGCAGCAAGUACACACAGCUAUAUGCUCCUAUUGUAGGAGGACAAUGAGGACAAUGAGGAUGACAUUCAAGAUUGUGCUGUUAUACCCAUAAGCACUGACCCUGCAAAAACAGCAAAGGACACCGUUAUAUCUUCAGCCGAGAUCAUUGUGGAAUUAGCAGGUGCCAUUGACCACAAAACUGUCAGCAGAUUCAAUAUCACAUGCUCAAAUAUUUGGGAUGGAGCAUUCAGAAGGUUCAGAUGCUCAAGCUUCUCUGAAAAAUUGGGUUUGCCUGUGAAGUUCAGUGAUGAUGCAGGCUCCUUUGAGGAAGGAAUAGACACUGGAGGUCCUAAAAGAGAAUUUCUUACACUUCUAAUGAGCCAGUUGCAGUCUCGACCCAUUUUUGAAGGACCCCCGGAGAGCCAGUACUUGGUGUAAAAUGCUACAGGUUUGUUGUCAGCCCUGGCCCCUGGACCUUGAAUAGUUUUAUGUUAGCCAGUAAACAAUGCAGGAUUCAAAUUUUCAAGUGCUUUACUUUCUUAUUCCUCGAGAUACUGAAUUUAUAUGUGUUAUGUGAUGUACUGUAGCUACGUGACUCAAUGAAGUUUGUUUUCCACCCUGUGCAUCGCCCCAGCAAUCAGAGAGGAUGAGUAUUUCUUGGCAGGGAAGAUGAUAGCUGUGUCCAUAGUUCAUGGAGGACCAGGCCCACAUUUUCUCUCUAGGGACCUGGUGAACCAUAUUAUUGGACAACCUGGUUUCUGUGCAAAUCUGAAGGAUGUGACAGAUGAUGAGAUAGGGAGAGCUCUUAAUGAGGUAUGACAACAAGACUACACUGGUCAUUGUCAUAAAUCUAUUGUUUAUUGUAAUCCUCAUAAGUACAGUACUUCUCAUUGAGUUUACAGUAGAGGCCCUUAUGUAAAUGUCUCUGCAGAAACACUAUAAUACUCAAAGAUCAGUUAUGCAUUACUUAAAACAUUGAAACCACAUUCCUCUUUAUGUAACUACAUUUUAAAGGUUUCUGUUUAUUUUGUCCUGGCCUUAAAAUAUCAAUAUUCUCUAUCUCUGUCUCUAUCUCUAUAUAUUUCAGAUUGAGCUGGCAGGUUCUGUGGAGUCUCUGCAAGAUGUAUUACUAAAGCAAAGCUCCUUGCUUCAAACUGCUGGAUGCUUUAGGCAUGUCAGCUCCAUGGAAGACAGACACUCAGUUGUGGCAGAAUACCUUAAAUGUUACAUCAUUGACAGAAAUUACAGUGUAAUUGAAAGGUAAGGCUAGAUGUUUUCAGACUGAAUGUGUUGAAUGGGGCUAAGUAAAUCAGCAGCUUGUUUCAGGGCUAAUACAAACAC